rnacentral:misc_RNA from 1 species
GAUGAAGAACGCAGCAAAAUGCGAUAAGUAAUGUGAAUCGCAGAAUUCAGUGAAUCAUCGAAUCUUUGAACGCACAUUGCGCCCGCUGGUAUUCCGGCGGGCAUGCCUGUUCGAGCGUCAUUUCAACCCUCAAGCCCCCGGGUUUGGUGUUGGGGAUCGGCUCUGCCCUUCUGGGCGGUGCCGCCCCCGAAAUACAUUGGCGGUCUCGCUGCAGCCUCCAUUGCGUAGUAGCUAACACCUCGCAACUGGAACGCGGCGCGGCCAUGCCGUAAAACCCCAACUUCUGAAUGUUGACCUCGGAUCAGGUAGGAAUACCCGCUGAACUUAAGCAUAUCAAUAAGCGGAGGA